AGCUCAGUUGGGAGAGCACCUGCCUUACAAGCAGGGGGUCACUGGUUCGAACCCGGUAUCGCCCACCA
rnacentral:tRNA from 2 species